rnacentral:lncRNA from 1 species
CAAAAAAAAAAAAGAGCACACAAUGUAUGAUUGAUUCUGUUUAUAUGAAACUCUAGAAAAUGUAAAUAAAAAACCAGGUGAGUUUCUGAGACUGGAAUGAAACGGCAGGGAGAGAUUACAAAAGGGAAUGAGGAAACUUUGGGCGAUGAAGGAUAUGUUUACUACCUCGAUUGUGGUGAAGGUUUCACGGAGUUGACAUUUAUUAAAACUUAUAGAAUGGUACAUUUAAUAUGUACAGUUUAUUAUAUGUCAAUUACACCUCAAUAAAGUUAUUGUUUAGAAAGAAUUGCUAUUUAUUCCUGUUCCUUGGUUCUUAAACUGCCACAUUUUUUCCUUUGGGUGUUUCAUAAAUUAGGAUAAACCGCUGCUGCCUUGUCUUGGUGAGGAUAUUUCUUGCCUCUUAAAUCUGACCCCCACUCUCUCCCCAACUAAUCUCUCAUUAACUGGACAACAAAAGGCGAAGGAAGCGCAGAACAGAAGAGGGAGACAUUCCCCAGAAAUCCCUAAUUACUGAUUCUUUUCAUUCCCCAUCUAACAUUGUUUCUGAGUUCUAGAACAGUAGGUUUAAUCCGCCCAGGGGGACCUUAUUCCAGAGCAGAAAUUGUAGGUGGGGAGAGAAAGGGAGGGAAGGGAGAGCAAGAGUUUAUUACAAUCUUUGGAGGGUGGGAUGGAUGGGAAGAUGUAUGAAGUUUAAAAACAAAGCAUAUCUAUGUCCUGUUUAUGAUUUUUCUUUGUUAGGAUUCUUUAUUUUGUUUCAUGCAAGAGAGGAUUCUUUAUUUUGACUCAUGAAAGAGGAAGUUUUAUAAAGAUUGGGAAAUACUAUUUUAGGAUAUUUCUAUUACCUUUGAGUUAUUAGUUCUUAACUUCUGGAAGGGUUUUGAAAAUCAGAGGCCCUUUCCCCUGGAAAAUGAACAAUGCUUCAUGUCUUGUAAGUGUGUACUGAGUAAGGGUUCUAUAGAUGCAGCUCCCAGGUGCUCAUGGCUUCCAGGCUCAGAGCCUGUAUCUUCAAUCACCUUGUUUUCAGAUGCCCUCAGGGCUCUUUCAGGGUAUUGGGAGCCCUGGACACAAUCUGUGCUCCCAGGAACAAGUAUUUUUAAAAAUGAGUCUGACUGGUAAACAGUGGAACAAUGAGCGUAUACAGGUCUUGUAGCCUUUAGAGAGGAAGCAGGAAGUGAGCCUUGGCGAAGAAUAUCGAUUUUAUUUUCUGCUAGUUGUGUAAUCAUGGGCAAAGCAUAUAACUUCUCUGAAUCUCAUGGUUCCUUUUAUUUAAAAAGGAAGAUAAUAAUAUCUGCCCAAUCUACUUUAUAAGCAUCGUGUGAGGCUCAAUUAAGACAUUAUUAAAAUCUGGCUGUGUAUGUGCAAUAACUCUCAAAGGUAAAUAAUUAUUUGCACAAAAGGAUAGGAACUACAAAAGUCAAAGGAGGCUUUAAUAAUGCACUUGAAUAUAUGCUCUUGAAUUGGGAUGAAUGAAACGACUUCCAGAAUGAUGGAGAUGCUAUAGAGACUGCAAGAGUACUGUACAGAUGCCAGAGAUGAAAAUCAAUUCAUUUGCCGUUGCCACUAAGGUUGUGCAAAUUUUCAUCGAAAUCUUUCCAUAAUCUGAUGCUGCAGGAUACAUGCUGGGGGUUUAUGAGGUCCCCUGUGUUGUCAUGAAUGCUGUCCCUCAAGUGACUGUAUUCCACAUGGACUGUCCAGAUGUUCUCACAGAGUAAUGCUAGUACCAGUGAAGAAUAAAACAGGUUUGCAAAAUUUACAGCUGCUUAACAGCAGUUUUUUAAAAUACCUGUCUAGGCUGUUAUUACAAAAGUGAGUGUUGAGUACACCAACCUUGCAGGAGUUGGGAUGGAGUCAGUGCUGAAGUGCCAUUUUGCCUUUUCUUCCUCAAAGUGUAAAGCUUUUAAAGAGGUUGUAAAUUUUCCCAAACAGCAUUUCAGCAAUUCAUAAAUCAUUUGGUUUUGAAAACUCCAUGCCUGUGGCCACCUCCUCUCCCUCCAAUUCCAUUGUAUUGGCUGCGGUGACACCUCCAGUGCAAACUCAUUUAUAGCCUGGGCAUCAGCAAACCCGAGCUGCUUGAACACCCCACAGGGAAGAAAUUAUUCCAUCAGGGGCCUCUUAUCGUCCUCAUCAUGCCACUAAUUUCUGCCUGAUUUAAAUGUGCAUUUGCCGCUACCUAUUAUUUGCCUGGUGCUGACGCCACAGGUGCCAUUAGCAGAGAGGGUCUGGCUGUCUAUCUUUUUCUUCCCUACUGUGUCAGAUUGGUAUUCUGACAUUUCAAAAGAGAAAGCUUGGAGGUGAUUGGAAUCUAGGUCUUGGUGUGCCCUUAGCAAAGCACUCUGUACUACAUUAAAAGUCACAGAUCCUAGGCUCCUGUUCUGGCUUUGCCAUUUACAGGUCACGUAAAUACAGAUAAUUUACCCAGUCUUUCUGAAUCUCACUUUCCCAUUUCAGAGUGGGACGGCAAACCAAGGGUUUCAGCCUGUUGGAUAACAUCUCACUUUUAGCACCUUUGGGAUAUCUGAAAUGCAGAAGCAGGUGAUGUGGUUUUAAUUAACAUAAAGUGACAUUGUUAUGGGACAUCCUCCUUUAUACUGUCAAAUACUUUUUUUUUUUUGGUCUUUUUGCUAUUUCUUUGUCUUUUUGUUGUUGUUGUUGUUGUUGCCAUUUCUUGGGCCGCUCCCGCGGCAUAUGGAGGUUCCCAGGCUAGGGGUCCAAUCGGAGCUGUAGCCACCAGCCUACGCCAGAGCCACAGCAACGCGGGAUCUGAGCCGCGUCUGCAACCUACACCACAGCUCACGGCAACGCCGGAUCGUUAACCCACUGAGCAAGGGCAGGGACCGAACCCGCAACCUCAUGGUUCCUAGUCGGAUUCGUUAACCACUGCGCCACGACGGGAACUCCUAUACUGUCAAAUUCUUAAUCUCUGAGUCUGGAGGUACAAGGACAAAUAUUUGUAGUCAACAAAAGAAUGGCUGAGAUGCACACCAUGAGCCUAAAUUGGGGAAAGUCACAUAUUCUGGACACUGCACAGAGGCAGAGGAAGGCCAGAUGUUAGACUCUGAAGGAGUGACCUCUGGGCCUUCUCUGUCUGACCAAAGAAGCACCAGCUGUUCCUUGGCAUCAUUUGGUUUCAGGAUUCAAUAUCAAUAUGAUGGAGUAAAUCGUGGUACCCGCCUCAUCCUUCCCAUCAGUGAGCUUGGUUGGGGGCAUGGGCGGGGGGCAGACACAGUUGGCACCCACUAGAUUUCUACAUUUAGUCCUUCCCUACAUUUCCCAGGCUUUAAGUUAUACAAAUUUGGGGGAUUGUCUGUUGCAGUUCUGAUGAGUGGACUUGGAACACAUGUGUUGGUGCCACUUAGAGCCAAAUUUCCACUCCCACCCAAUUUCUGUUAUCCUGUCAUGGCAACAUGAGCUACUAUGGCUCUAAGAUGGAUCUGGCUGUCCAACUAGCACUGGACUUGAGCAAGAAAUAAACCUUAAAACCUUGUUGCAGAUGCAGCUUAGAUUCGACUCCUACUCUGGGAAUUUCUUUUUCUAAAAAAAGAAAGUUAUUUAGAAGCAAUUUCAGUUCCUAAGGAAGAGUGUUCUAAGAGAACUUUUCAAAAAUAGACUGGUCAAGAAAAAAAUAUUGUCCCAUCUAAUGAGAUACUGAGUUCUGGGUCACAACAGUGUUUAAGAAGAGUUUACAUGCAAAGAUGCUGUGAGGUAGCUGUCGAGAUCUUCCUGCUGCCUCUUCUCCCCCAGACGGUGCCUGGGAAAGGCUAUGUGAGGGUAAGACAGAGUUAACUCACUAAACGAUGGAUUUAUGGAAAGUGUACCAAGCAUGCUUCCUUUCACCAAAGUCAACGUACUUUUUUUGUGAUUUCUAAGGAAGAAGACUCCAGACUCAGCUUACUGGAUUUUCACUGUCCUUUUAUAGGACUAUUAAAGCAGAAUGACUUUGAAAUGGGCAGCGGACACUUUUCUUUUCUAAUUUACUAGAUCUCUUCAGGCCUUAGGCUACUCUUGCCUUUAGGAUUGUUGCCAGGCAACCGUCUAAAGCCCUUGGUCUCAAUCACUUCAGAGAAGCUCAUCCUUUAAGAGAGUCAAACUUAGUAGUUUCUUUUGACCCCAGUGAAAAGCAAAAGAUUGACCAGCAUUUUGAAAGUUGGCCUGUGGUACCUUCAGAAUGUUCUUUGCUGUUGAGGGUGCUGGUUUUGGCUUUUGGCUUUCUUACUCUUGGGCCACAUAAUAGCAGCUCAUUCCUUCAAUAACCUUCACUGGUUAUGCUUAGGAAAAGGAGGUAACAUGGUAGCCAAGGGGAUCACUACUCAGCAAACAAGUGAGACUGUGGUUCUCACCCUGAAAGACGUAUUAGGGCACUAGGUGAGUGUGAGAUCGGGCUGGGAAUGGCACAGCGAGGUAGAGAAAGUUCAAGAUAACAAGUCAGUUGUGUGCAAACAUAAUAACAUACCUGAAUAAGAGAACCGGCUGCCAACAAUCCAGAAACUGACUGGAGGAAUAUUUAACAUUGCUAUUUUAAACCAAAACUUUUUUUUUUUCAGAAAAAAAUAGCAUAUAAGGAGCUUAGAGCUCCUCUAGUCCAAAUUACCCAAUUUUCAGGAGUUUGAAUACCAGCAGACAAAAAUAUAAAGUGGUUCCUGACAAUCCAGGACUGACACUCAAGCCUCCCAAUUUCCAACCACUGCCUUCUGUAUUAUAUCCCUAAUACAUUCCUUGGAGAUGUCCUAUGCAGAUAAUUUUUGGUAAAACUCACCCACCGAACAAAAGAUGGCCUCAAAUUGUGGAGUGUCUGUGGCAUUCAUUUAUUCAUUUAUUUAUUGUUUCUGAUUUCAAGGGGCUUUCUUGCUUAUGUGAAAAUGGUAUUCGCUGAUCCAGACAUUGACUUAAAGGAGAGAGGUGCAUAUUCCUUUCCUUAUUAAGCAUGUCAUGCUUUCCAGGGUUCGAGUCUUAAGCAGCAGUGAUCCACAGUGCCCUCUCCUUGAUUUCUGUUUGCUGAGGUGUGAUGGUUAAUGCCACUCUCUCAGCCUCAUGAACAGACAGAUUCAGCUCACCUAUUCUACUCUUCCCAGAGCUUUUCAGGGGCAAGGAAGAUGGAAAGUCCUCCCAGAACCAUUCAUAUAGGUUGACAUCCCCUUCUUCUUUCAGGACUGUGUGGCUCCCAUGGGGCCAACCUCUUUCCAGGAAAAGCAGUGCUCUCAUGCUUACCCUUAGACUUUCCUUCCGGGGCCCCCGGGCUUUGGUCAGGCUCAGAGAGCAAACAUGCAGCCUCUCUUGAUCUAGGUUCUGACAGCUGCCCUGCUGGAGAUGGGAGCUGAGCUGUGAGAGUGGAGGAGCAGGUACAUUUUUAGGAUCAUGGUUUUCCAGGAGUCCCAAUUUGAAUCUAAAAUUUAGUUCAUGCAGAAGACCUAAAUAAACAUUUCUCCAAGGGAGACAUACAGGUGACCAACAGGCAUAUUAAGAGAUAAUCAUCAUCACUAAUUGUUAGAGAAAUGCACAUCAAAACUACAGUGAGGUACCACUUCACACCAGUCAGAAUGGCCAUCAUAAAAAAAGUUUACAAAUAACAAAUGCUAGAGAGGUUGUGCAGAAAAGGGAACCUUCCUACACUGUUGGUGGGACUGUAAAUUGGUACAACCACUAUGGAAAACAGAUGGAGGUUCCUCAGAAAACUGAAAAUAGAGUGGCCAUAUUGUUCUACAAUCCCACUUCUGGACAUAUAUCCGGACAAAACCAUAAUUUGAAAAGAUAGAUGCACCCCUCUAUUCAGAGCAGCACUAUUUACAAUAGCCACGACCUAGAAGCAACCUAAAUGUCCAUCAAAAGAAGAAUGGAUAAAGAGGUAGUAUAUAUGCUCAAUGGAAUAAAAAAGGAUGGAAUAAUGCCAAUGGCAGCAACAUGGAUGAACUAGAAGUUAUCAUACCAAGUAAAGUAAGUCAGAUAGAGAAAGACAAAUAUAUAAGAUCACUUAUAGGUGAAAAAUAAAAAUAAUUAAAAAAAGAAUGUAUAUAUGUAUGUGUGACUGGGUCACUUCACUGUAUAGUAGAAAAUCGACAGAACACUGCAAACCAGCUAUAGUGGAAAAAAUAAAAAUCAUUUAAAGAUCACUUAUACGUGGAAUCUAAAAUGACCUAAAUGAACUUAUCUACAAAACAGGAACAUAUUCACAGACAUAGAGAACAGACUUGUGGUUGCCAAGGGGGAUGGGUGUAGGGGAGGGAUGGGAUGGGAGUUUGAACAUAGCAGAUGCAAAUGAUUAUAUACAGAAUGGAUAAAGAACAAGGUCCUACCAUAUAGCACAGGGAAAUAUAUUCAAAAUCCUAUAAUAAACCAUAUGAAAAAGAAUAUAUAUGUAUACACAUUUGUAAUAUAUACAUUUACAUAUAUGUUAAACUGAAUCACUUUGUUGUAUAGCAGAAAUUAACACAACGCUAUAAAUCAAC